AUCCAGAUGACGACUCCACAAUAGGACGAAAUGCGCAUCAAGCUGGAU
rnacentral:hammerhead_ribozyme from 1 species